rnacentral:tRNA from 1 species
GCUUUUGUGGCGCAGUGGUAGCGCAACCGCCUUGUAAGCGGUAGGUCGUCAGUUCAAAUCUGACCAAAAGCUCCA